ensembl:lncRNA
GGAAAAGCACCAUCAAAGCGGCUCCUUCCUACGUCUGAGCGCCGAUCCGGUCACAGUUAAUCGGCGAACGUCACGACGGCUCUCUGAACAAAACGCCCUUCAGGUGAGUUUCCAGCUCCGACGCCCCACGUUCGCUUUUUAUGAAGCUUCUCGAGGAAACCCAAUCCAAGCUCUGCCCUCCUUCGGCUCCCGGCCGCAAACGGCCCCGCGGGCGGACAGACGGACGGCGUUAGGCCGCCUUCGCACCGGGGAAUCGCCAGAACCGGAGCGAUGGCCGCCUGCAGUGACAUCGAUGGGGGGCGGAUUUGGUGCCCCGAGACGUGUGCGAGUAAGAGCUCAGCCCCGCGCUGAUGGAAACGCGCUCACAGCCCGGUACGGUUUCACCGGUUUACAAACGCCGUCCAUUAAAACACGAUUAUUACCAAACGGCUUCUUUCUAUGCGAGAUCCUCAAAUCCGUUGUUUACAUUGCACCUAUAUUAACAAACCACAAAAUAAGCCCGUAGCGUUUUUAAGAGAGGUUUUAGGCUGGGAACGUGGAAACUUGCCUGGACGAAACGACACGGAAGCUGAAUGAAGGCGAGGAGAUUAUCUGUGUCUGAAGGUUGGGCAUUAGCCGCAAUGAAAAGAUUGAUUUUUCCGAUGCUUUUUCCCCCCCCAGACGGUUAUUUCCAAGGCUGCUGGCAGUGUAAGCUCACUCUCUGAGCAGAUACUGAAGCCCGUGUGUUGUAUGUAAGGGUGCUAUUCAAGGAGGAGGCGCUCAGUGCCGCAGAGUGCCUGCUGGCUUCGGGUGCACGUGUUCUUACAGCAUCACUCGCACUCGAAAAAUACUUGUUAUUCGUGCUCAGAAGUUACUCGAGCAUGACUUGCAGUGGAAAAUUGUGCAAAAAUAAUGUUUCUUUGCGAUAACUGAUCCCAGUCUGGUGUUUCAUAGCUGAUAGCCUGGAAACUUGCCUGUGCAGAGUCCCUCCCCGUCAGAGAUGUUCCACGAUGCUGAAGGAAACAGCGGUGAGGAGAAGAGGCGGAUGUGCAGGGGUUGUUCACAUGCUGAAAGCUUUGAGUCACAGCAGCUCUGACGCUUUUCUGAAGAAAUAGUUCUGCAAUCGUUACAGUUGCCACCCAAACCCUACCCUGGGUGUUCUAUGGCUUACAGCAACCUCCAAACUCGCACUGCGUGUAGUGUGAAUGCUGUGUCAGGUAAGCGUGUGUAAGUCAUCCUACAGCAGCCGGUCUGGCAAAACACGUCUGAUUUGGCGGUCAAGGAGGUGAGUCCCAAAACACAGCAAGCGAGGAGCUGGCUGUUCCGUUUGGGCUAACGGGCAUUUUCCUUACCUACAGCCCAGCUGACUGCCAGCUCCCGGCUCAUCCCCCGAUUAGGCGCUGAUGGGCGUUUUCUGAGCUAUUUACUAAGAGCUGAACAUAAACCACAAGUGCUUUUGAAUGCUGACCUCUCAUUUAUGUUACUUUCCGAACUGAAUAGCAUCUUAUGCGCAUUAAAAUAGUUUUUAAUAGAUGCUUGAACGAUAAUCAUGUAUGCAUCUUGUUCUCUUCUCCUUUUGGUCAACGCGAAAGCCGGGCUGUUGGAUGCUCCCAUUUGUUGGCCAGGAGUUCUCCUCAGGGCUGCUGGGCCCCAGCAGAGUGCUGGGCUGUGCAUCGGACCCCAGAGAGGUUCAGGAGCUCCUGCUGUUGUUCAACCUCCUCUGGCUUUGGCCGUCGGAGGUGUGUUACUGCCACAGCUGAGGUGGAAGUGCCACUGCGAGGACUUUCGUUGUCCUUGUUUUGUGAUGUUCUUAACUCCGUGACGUGGUGUGAAAGUUCCCCAUUCAUGGGUGUGAAAAUGCAUUCAGACUUGAUGCUAUCAGUCCCAGAAGUUCGAAGUACUGCUCGUUUCUCAUUGGAUAAGCAUAUAGACCACACAUUCCAUAACUGAAUGUCCUCUGCUAAGUUCAGGGGUUACUUGAAAUUAACGCUCAUUAUUCACUAGUAUUUGCACUAGUAAAGUACAAGUGCUCAAAUAUUUGCAGAAAGCAAAAGUGAAGCAGCUGUAAACAUGGCUGAAUUUGCUUCUGAAUUUUAAUGCAUAUUUGCAGAAUUUUGGUUUAGCUGUAAUGUGUGCGUGUCUAUGGUACAGAAAGCUUGUAAAUUCUGGUGCUUUACACUUCCCAGUGUGUAAACUGCAGCUAAGCCCGCUGGAUUUAACUUUUAUAUCCUUAGUUUAAAUGGAAAAAUACAGGCGAGUUUGAAAAAAACAAAAACAAAACCCUUAAAAAAUACACAGAGCAUCAGAAUCUUUACAUAACCACAUCGAUUAGUGGUCUGUAACCUUCGCUGGCGAGUGGGUACUGAUGGAAUAGUGUGUGGUUAACUCUUUCGUCCCCAGCAGGAGCAACGUGAAGAUUGAAUCCCAGGAUCCACAGUUCAGGAUGAGGUCUGUAAGUCACUAUUUCUCCCUUUGGUUCCAGAGAAGUGAUUCUCUGAAUGGAAGUUAAGGAAUUUGUGACGGUCUUCAGGAAGGUUUGCCUUAGCCAGAUGUUGUAUUUGCAGUGUGAAAACAGGCUGUGUGGGAGAGCCAUGACUUGGAGUGGGGAAGGAGGAAUGUAUCAGGCUUAACACACAGCAUAUGCUCUCCUUGCAGAAUGGAUUGGGUGACUCUGGGUCUGUAUUGACUGCUUAAUCGUAGUGUUUCUAGUCUGGGGGUGGGUACACUGUUAGGUCAUGGUAACAGUGAUGAAUUUGAAGAGGAAGAGUGGCCAUUUAUUCAUCCUACUUUUCUCCCUCUCUCAAAGGAAGAGGAAGCAAUCAGGAUAGAUAGAGAGUUGUGCUUGGAAGCAGUGAAAGAAAGCUGGUAGUAUUCUAGAGAGAUGUGAGGAGCAGAACUCAGGAAAGAGUGUUGGAUUUCAAAGGAGAACAGGUUGAUAAGAGCUGUCAAGCUUGGCCAGGGCAAGCUGUGUGGGUACUGCUGGAUGAUGCUCUCCAGAGACAGAGUGUGGCAUUGGUCAGCCACCUUUCAGCAUCCUCAGUGCAGGGAAUUUCUGUUUAGUUUUGCUGUUUUCUUAAUCCCAAUGGACCAGGAGAUAUCUGGAUGACAACAGUUUCCCAGGUUUCUAUGAAGGUCUUACAUCUGUUUUCCCAACACAUAAAAAAAGAUUUGCUCUUAUAUUUCUGCUCGGGGUUUCUGAUGCUCCCCUCUGCUGUCACUGCUUUUACAGAGCAAAAGUAGCCCAAGGAAUCUGGAAGAUGAUGGACACAGUGUGUACUGCAUGCUCCCACUGAGCUUAUGGACAGCCAGAAAAGCUGUAGAUGAAGUGGAAGAGUGAUGGUCUGCUGCCAAGAGCUGCAGCAUUGGAGAAUGUGUCUGUGGCAUUCAUGUGGUCAGAAAGUCAUACCAACUGUCUCCUCCCCAGACUCACAGAUUCUUCUCAGAAAGGGUCAUGUUUUCUGUUUUCCAGGCAUUUAAACACAUAGAAGGCAUUUUCUUGUUUCCUUGCUUUCCACAAUUCUGCAAGCAGAGUUUAUAUAUACAUACAUACAUAUAUAUAUAACCAUUUUUGAACUUACUGCGCUUUCCUUCUACCCCUUGAUCUUUAUUGUUUCAGUAGAUCCCUUUUCAUUCUGUUGUAUGGUGUAUAUUUUUUAGGUUAAGAAGCUGUACUUAAUUCUUAUUUCAGAAGAUGGCUCUUCUCAGAAUGAAAAGCAGAUUGCUAUGAAGGCAAUGAUUUGAUCCUUGUGGUUUGCUGUGAGCCUCGUAGCCUCUAGUGUAAACCUAUUGGAUCUUGUUUAACAGAGAAGCAGAGAAAGUACCACCCAUGCAAAUGCUGCUCAGAAACACCUACCAGGGAGAAAAAAGCUUCUGUAAGUAAAAGUAUUGUAUGACCUCUCAUUAUUAAAACAGACGCAGUGUAUUUGAGGGUAUAUUUAUACUGUGUUGAUUCUUAGAAGUUCCACUCAUUGACCAACAGCCACUCUUCUGGUUGUUGCAGUGUCAGGUGGGCACUGCCAUCCUGUUGUGCUCUCUUUAUGUGUGUUGCAAUCUUUAUUUUUUACUAAGGGAUUUACAAAAGCAGCUGACAUCCUGACAGAACCAGACAGUUCUAAAAUAUUACGGUUAAUAGAAAGUAACCAUAUUGUUCAUUGGGUCUGGAAAAAUAGAAAUUAGGAAAAUAAGGUCUUUCUAACGAAUGUUUUGGAUUGUGUACAGUCCAUCAAGGUAUCUCCUAUUAGAUGAGAUGACCCCCAGUGAAGAUCUUAUCCCUUCACGAAUUUGGAAUAGUUAUGGUUGGACCGGAUAAGAAAAGAAUACCUUUCUAUCAGAGAGCCCAUAAUUGGUGGUACCCAAAAGUGGGCCAAAGGCUUUGGCAUAUAUCUGUGUUUUCUGCCCUCUUGAAAAAAUGCCCUAUUUUCUCAGGCUUGCUUUUACACUUGGUAAAAAUUCUCUUCUUUGACCUUAGGUUUACACAUCUCACAUUUUCCAGGUGCUUUCUCUGAUGAUAUUUUUAUUGGUGUAUUUGUGGUAAGUGUGUUCUUGAAUGUCCCACAGAGUCGGCCAGAUAUACAUUCUGUUACUGCUCUCAGUGCAGAUGAAAGCUUCAAAGAAAGGGUAAUUUUCAGUGCUGAAGGUAUUAUACUUAGAGCUGCAACAGCUGGGAGAUGCAUCUGAGGGGAGCACUUGCUCAUCCCACAGCAAACCUAUAGGUUUAAUCCUGAAUCCAUAUACACAGUUUUGAUAAGGAAGCUUAGGUAUUGGGUAGAGGAUAGGAAAUAAUAGUUGUUCCAGAAUGGUGUGGACAUAGGUCCUGUCCUGUGUAUUCCAAACCAGAAGUGUUUUUCCUGCACUGCCCAUCUCUGUCUGCAUGACUGAGUCUUAUUUGUUCUACUGGGAUCCCUCUUGUUCCUGUGCAGCUGUAGCUGUAAGAGCUGACAUUUGCUGAUGAGCCACUUCUAAUUCAAAAAUUAGAAGAUUAACAAUGAGAUAAUUCAGCUAUCACAUUUAUGUAUUUGUUUAUACUCUUCUCUCAUUCACUGUAAUUACAUCAGUAUCUGCUGAAGGUUUCAGCAUCCCUACCCUCACUACUUUUCUGUCAAGGCAAUAUUUAUCUGCAGAGAAAGGUGUCAGUGAGAAAGCAGGAUUUCCUAUAUGUCUGAGGACAGACCUGUUUUGUGUGCUGCAUUUGAUGGUAGUCAGUCACGUGCCCAGAGACGGGUACAAAAGAGGUUAGCAAACAGUCGCUUUGCAGGCAUUUGUUGCUCAGGGGUUUUCUGAGGCAAUUAGCCUGCAGUAGUCAUUUGUUGCAUUUAUUUGUUGUUCCCAAUCAAGUAGGUUCUGGUAUAUGCCACAGUGUCUGGCGACACGUUUUUUUCUCUGUGCAACAUGUGAAGAACAACUUCUUGUUUGCUUUUUUUAACUUGCCACUCACUAAUUGCAUUGGAUGUAUUUUGGAUCAUGUUCCGACAAAGCCAAUAUCCUCUUUUUCUCCAUGCAACUUUUUGUUCAGUGGGACCGUGUCAACUUUUCCUCCAGCAUCUCUCUGCCUUCCCCACAUCUUAGUCACGCCAGGGACUUUGUACUGAUUUUUGAUGCUAUUUUUGGUGUGUGAUGUGAUAGUCCUAAUUUCUAGCUAAAGAGCAUCUACCAAUGAUUAUGUACAGUGUUCCUUAAAGUAACAAAAAAUCACUAGCGUGGCAUGUUCUGGUUUGCGUGUCUCCAUAUAUGAUGGAGAGCUUUGUUCAGAGUUCUGGCUGUAAAUUCAUACCAGUACCCUAAAUCCCCGCUAUCAGUGUCUUUGGGGUGAAACCCAGUCCUUGUGUCAGAAUAAUCCCUCCUCGCGCAAUCAUGUUGCCCUCUGUUGGUUAGCUUUGAUUCAGAAUGUUCCCAGGCUCGCUAAUUACCAGAGGGCUUAUUUAAAUUCCUGUGGAAGAGGCCUCAGUGUUUUACUCUGCAAUGCUCUGGUUCCUGUGCUGGCUGAGGGGUGCAUCCGUGCUUUCAGAGGAAAGGGUGGAAGCCUCUUUGUAGGUUGUGGUUGCAACCGUGUUCAUUUAUAAAGCUGGGUUUGAUUUCUCUUAACGAACACACAUUUUAAGGUCUGGAAUUCGUCGGUGUCAAGGUCAGUUAUUGAGAAGUUUGCAUUGCCUUUUUUUGAAGAAUUGAUCUGAAAGCAGCUAGAAUCAGAACUUCUUUUCCUGUGGGUUCAAUGUUUAUGUGCACGUAGGUUCCCAGUGGAUUCACAGGGAUGCCUGGUAAAGCCAGAUGGCACAAAAAAAGCCUACAGAAAGAAAAGAAGGCAAAAAGAAUGCUAGUUGCAUAGGGAGAUAUGAAAAACCUCUCCCUCUAAAUGCUGGAAAAUGGUUUUAUUAUAAACACAGAUAAUCUGAUGAAUUGAAAGGUUGGUGAGGAAGGAAGAUGAGAAUUUUUGGGGGCAGUAGAACAUUUUUCUUGUUGACUGAUUAAUCUGGAACUGCUCUGAAUGCAAAUGGAUUUCUGGGAUCCUCCCACUUUCUCAAAUACAUUCUGACUGCAUCUGACUGGUAAUGUGUUCAGGAUGAUUUUCUCAUAAGAUACAACUGAAGACCAAAGGUGAAGGAGGAAGACCGUGGCAGAGCUAGGACUAGCUUUCUUCUUUAGAGGGGUGAAUUGGAACGCUGGUCAGCAUGCUGCAGUGACUUGCAGACACGUUCAUCAAAGUCCUUGUACCUAAAUAGGCUAUGGAUGUGAGUAAUGCUUAUUUCUUCUCUGUUAUAAAAUGCUUGAGAUCUGUGGUUGGGAAACCAAGCACGUAAGUGCAGUCUACUGUUAUUGAUAGGAAUGAGUUUCAGAUGGCACAGCUGAAAAUGUGUCCCCUACUUUUCCUGGGAUGCUCUAUGGAUCAGACUCUAAGCAAAAACCAAGAAACCUGCUUCAGUUGGCACAGAUACUUGAUAUAAUAUGAUGAUUGGUUAGAGAUACUACCUGAUGGUAGUAGGUAAUACAGCUAAAUAUUACCAAAUAAUAGUAAUAAUGUUAAUAAAUCCACUUACAUAAAAGAAAAUAAAUAAGAGAACCCUGAAAUAAUAAUAACAAAAUCUUAAUCUUUUUAUGCUUCCAGAAUGAAGACGAUGUGGUCUCUUGGCACAAGAAUUUAUGAAACAACCCAUAAAGACCCACGGUACAGCAAUCUAAGGAGCAAACUCAAGAUGUUUGAUUGAGCAAUGCGUGUGCAUUUAUUCACACCUGGAAAGAACAGCUUUCUGUGUCAUUACAUGCAGUGUGAGAAUUUCAUGUAUUGAUCUCUGUAUAUACAUCACCUGAGGUUCCUUUAUUCUCUUGGUAAAACUUGCCAGGUGUGAUGCUGUUUGGAGGUCCUUUCUGUACCAGAUGAGGCACUGAGUGUUGAAGCAAGCAUCCCUCCUGGCCUUGUUUCGGGCCUUGUCUAGAGAUACAGUACUGCUGCCUAAAGCUGUUAAGCUUAACCAAAGCCAUGGAUGUGACUGUUAUUUGGCAGAUAAAAGGAGUGAAAGGAAGGAGAGAAGAUAGCAGUGUGGUGUCUUUUUACUUUCUUUACAGUCUGCUUAAAUUUCUCAUCUGCUGUAAACCUCAGACUGAAAUUCUGCAGCGUGGGGAUGCACCGAAGUAGUGCUGGAUAAUAACUUAAUAAAAUAGAAGUAACGAAAGGGGAAUAAAAUAGCUCCCAAACAGUUAAGAGUGGGAUUCUGGUUUGUGUUGGAUCCUUGUCCUGAAAGCUUGGAGUGCUCAGAUCCACCUGAAGGAUCAAAAGUGUCCUCAAGCCCUUAAAUAGAUGACUCGGAAAUAGCUGAAAUGUGUUUCAUUUUAUGGUAAGUUUAAUGUUUCCAAUCUCAGUGCAAUUUACAAUUACAAUAAAUAUCACCAAAAAAUUAAUGUGGCCACUUCAAAUACAAAGGAACGACAGAGUGUAAUCUGAGAAAAUUUUAUCAACAUGCAAUUUCCUUAACAAAAACACCAAUGUAUCAUUUCAGCAUGCUGAGAAAUAUUUAUCUUUUGGGACAGCAAAAUCAUUUGCAGAACGUUUUAACUGCUAAAUAAAUAUUUUACUGGCAACUUCUGAGGCAUCAUAAAUGCAGUCAAUAUAAACAAAGCAAUGUGGAAUCCAGCUCCGGUCUCAGCUGCAAUGACUGUUGGCCACUUCGUGGUAACACAGGGCUCUGGGAUGCAUUUGGCACAGUCUCAGCAUUUCAAAUAUCUGAUUUGUUGGGUUUUUUGUUUUUUUUCCCCUGCUAUAUAAGCAAGUUUGCUUAGUUUAUCUGAAGGCUCUGGCAAUGGAAGGCACGGCGAGCUUUCAGUAUUAGGGAUGCAACUGUUUAGCAUUUAACAGAAACUCGUCUUUUCACAGUUAAAUCACAUUUUUUUUUAAUUGAAUCCUGUGCUUAUGAAAAAUACUGGAUCUGCAGCCUCAGACUGUCUGCUUGGCUGCAGAACAAGAACAUCAUGGCCAUGCUUGCUUGAACUUCCUCGUGGGCCCCUGCCAACGCGCUUCACCUCUGACCUGUAGCUGAGUUUUUAAAUGUCUUUUUUAUCUGUAGUCUCUUCCCAGACCGCCCCACUGAAAUGGCACUUCUAAGGAUGAUUUCAGCAAGUUUCAUCUGUGCACUGGAAGCAGAAACUUGUUGCAUGGAGGCAGCUGAAGAAUCACUUAUUCAUUACCAUGAGCGUCACUGCAGUCUUUACUGUCAAGGACUGCCGGUCACAUUUCCUCACAUCAACUCUGGGACAGAGCUAUGAUUUGUUGUAUUGCUAUUGGCCAUUUUAAGUGAUAGCUACCUGACUAAGCUAGGUAAUAAUUGCCUAUUUGUCACUAUAGGUGCUCACUUUGUGUUAUUUGUGUCUAAUAUACAAUGGCAUUAUGCUCCUAUUGAAUAUUUAUUGAAAAGCACAUCAAAUAUUUGAAGGCCUAUAAAUGUGUUCAUCUUCUGAAUUUAUCGAAGGAUCUCUGUUGACAGUCAUUGGUUUCAGUGCUGUAGUGGUUUCUUGCCUGCUCUAAUGUGGUGUUCUACCUGUUUGCCAGACAUUGCUGUUAAGCAAGUAACUGGUGAUAGCUGGAUAUCCUUCCAAGCUUAGGAAGAAGUUAUUGGCUGAAGCUGUUCUCCUUAUUAAUUUGACUCCUCAGAUUUAUGUGUCUGCAAAUGAUUUUCUUCUUAUCUCUGGCGGCUCCAGAAGAUAAUCCAGAAAUUAACUUUUCCUUGUAAAGAACUUCAUAGGAUGUUUUAGGAAAACGUGAAUAAGUAAAUGCUUAGUAGGUAGUUUGAGAUACCCUCAGCUCCUCUGGAUGCAAAGCAUUUACCACUGUGAUCUGACUUCUGUCAGUUCUCCAGGAGUGUUACUAUCUUUGCACAUUCAUCUCCUACUUCUAAAGAGAUCUUUUAGCACACAAAGCAGGAAAUGUAAGAAAACAGACAGGAUUUCCAAAGACAAGUUAGUCAUUUCACUGCAGAGUCUGGCCUUUGUUCCACGUCCAUAACAAGGCAGUGGUCUUUAAAACACGGUUGAAAAUUAGAGGAGAUGGCAUAAACGUUUGGUAAUUGCAGAGAGCCAGGGUGGUUCCUGCGUGGGCUGUUAGUCAGUGGCUGAAAACUGCUGCAGAAUGCAGUCUGUUGCUUGCUUAAUGCACAAUGAGCGUUCUCUGCAUAAGUAUCUUAAUUCACACAUCUAAAGGAACUCAGCCUGGGUUUAGCUGGGUACUUGUUAGCAACUUCUUCAGAAAUAAAGGGGUGGAAACUGUACCAUCAUCUGUGGCUGGAAGGUGAAGAUUUACUUAAAGCACUUCGGCUGAGGGGCAUCGAGAAAUGAGCACUGCUGCUGCCUGCAGGAGAGGACUCCAGCACUGCAGGGACACAGAACCUCAGGGAAGUCAUGCUGAGGAAAUGAUUCAUUUAACCUGCAGCUAUAUCGUUUGUAGAAGGUAAAGGCAAUAGGUGUGAAGAAAUGUUUGCUCAGAUCUGUGCUUUAUAUAGGUUCCAUCCUGGAUAACGUAUAUGAUAAUAUACUGAUAUGAGUAUAUCUCCUCUACAGCAUGCCAUGUUCUGACGUACUUGGGUGGCAUUUAGUGUACAGAUUACUCCUCCAUUCACAGACGUGGACUUUCCCUAGGUUAUCCACAUGUUCUGUAUUACGUUUCAGGGCUCACAGUUUAAUCUUUUCAUAAAUAAAGCUGUAGCCUUUUCUGGUAGCGAGAGAGGAAGCGAGGAAGAUUCCCUGCCCUUGAGGACCGAGCGUGGCUCUCAGUCCCCAGAAGGCUGGGAUUUUGUGCUGGCUAUUACCAAGUGUAAAAUGAAACACCUGUGUGCAGCAGCAUGCCAAGGCUGAGCCACCUGCAGCACACCUGCUAACUGCCUCACUGCAGUCGGGUCUGGGCAACGUGACAUCAUCUGAUUUCAUAUCUGUAAUUGAACAAAAGGUACGGGCUAUAGCUGAGCUCUUAUCCAAAAAAGAAGAGUUAACGCUGUAAAUACGCGUCUCUGUAAACAGAGAAACUUCUUUCCUGUUCUCAUUGAAUGGCAUGCUGUGAAACCAGAGUUGGCUGGAAACUUCUAGAAGCAGCUUGCUGGGGGCUGGGUUCGGCUGUGCCUCUGAAUGCCUCCGAGCAGGAAGCAGCUGGGUAACACUCCAGGUGAUUGCGCCCAUUGACUCCAUUUUCUCUCUCUAUUUGGAGUGUAGCAGUGGGUGAUACAUUUGCCUGCUGUCUGAGCUUAGUUCUCAAAGCUGGGAGCGGAGUUCACUUUGCCUCUGGAGCAGGACGUAACCCGGUCUCACACGAGGCACUGAAUGUCUACCACAGACUCGUGAGGUUUAGGUUUUUUAGCAGUGUAUCUGGAGGAUAGAAAUCUUCCAGUUUUUUAGCAGCUUUGAGGAGUAAGCAGUUUCCCCCCAGCGUGAUUAAAAACAUCAGAAGAAUGCUGCAUCAUAAAGCGAAGGAUGGAGGUACGUUUAUUUCACUUAUAAUGCAUCUUUCAGACGUGACUGGGAAAUACAUUCUCGUGUUCAGAAUUGGGUAUAAAAGCAGAGGCAGAAGUUUACUCAGUCCAAAAAUCCCUUUAAAUAGCCUACGUUGCUAAGGUUUUUUGGUAGUAACUGCAAUUUAAUCCUUGCUUAAAAGGGCUUUUUUUUUCUUUGAUUAAUUGAACACACAGGAAGAAGCCGACAAUGCUGUUCCUCCCAAAAAGAAACAGCUAUUUUUAGGGGUUUGCUUAAAUUUUAGGUUGCUUUGUUCCUGUUAAAUCUCAGCCUUGACUUUGGCAAAAAAUCCUGUGUUAAAAGCACGCUCUGAAGUCCGGGGUCUCCAGCAGGGCUCGGAAUGAUGCACGUGCUUCAGGGCUUGGCUGAAUCCAUUUUAAGGAUGUGUUUUACAGACUUGAGGCUAGCAGUGCUUGGUAGACGAUGACCAAGAUUCUUGCCUUUACAGGGCGUAGGGUGGGGUUUAGAGCCAGCUCUGCCUUAAUAAUAAAGGGUUGGGUAAUAUUAGGCUUAACUGGUAAUGCUAGGUAUUACCCAAUUAAUAUUGGAUUUAAUGAAAACUACUGAAUAGGGCAUUCUAAUAAUUGUACCUAACUGAAUGCUCUUCUUGUUGUUUCAGAUAAUUUAGGGGUUAAUGCUUAUUGUGAGCACAUUAUUGUAAGGGUUUUUUAAAGAAAUGUUUUUUUUUUCUUGUCUUAACAUCUUGAGUUUCAACUGUUCUUUUCAUUUCAUGCUAUCAUUAUCCAGCAGGACUAGAAAUAGGUGCAGACAAUGAGAUGUACAUGUGCACACAGGUUAGCUGCUAUAUUGUUAUGUAGCCUUCUGACUGUGGCUUCUGAGAAUCAGGCUGACGGAGCUCCACAUAUUUUCCCCUUGAAACAGAUUGUUUGUGAAACUGCAGAGAAUGGUGAAUAAUUUGCACCAAUUAAAAAUGACAGUUCUGCCUGUUCCCUUAUUCCAGGGAGCACUGUUGUGCUGAUCUUCUGAUACUUCCAGGCUUUGGGUUGUUUUUGUUUUUUUUUUUUGCCCUUUUCCUUUCUUUUAUUAUGCAUAGGUUGAUACCUGUUAACUGCGUCUCCCUGCAAAAUAAUAAUAAUAAAUACAUAUAUAUAUACACAUUCCUGUUGGUUUUUGCGGAGUAGAGUCCUUAGAUUUUCUUUCUUUCUUUUUUUAGUUUUGCUGUUGUUGUACUCUCCAGUAUUGGCUGGUCAACCACAACACCAAUAAGUGGUGCAGAACUCUGCUUCUGUGGGUAUGAUGCCAAAAGCAGCCAACUUGGUGCCUUACGUAGGGAUUAGUUAAGCUUGUUAGAGAUGUUUGUGCAAAUGGGACUUUUGGGUCUUGUAGAGACUUACCAAAAUGGUGGCCUAAUUAUGAACUGUUUCCAUUUUCAAGAUCACGUUUUCUGAAAUGAAGUGAAGGAAUAGCGGAGCUGAAGAUGAAAGAUAUGGAGAUGUGCAAACUGAUGUGUUGGUUAUUUAUAGGGGGAUCUUUAGUGUUUGCUAACUGGAACAAAAAAGGCGUAGCAUUUGCAUGUACCCUUUGUUGCAAGCACAUUGUUUAUGCAGAAGAAAAUGGUCUGUGUUUGUCUUUGUAAAGGUUGAUGUUGCUAUUAAGAUUUCAAGAGUGACCACUGGAAAAAAAGAAUUUAGAAAGUAAGAGGAACAUAUGGGACACCUGUCUUUGGAAGUAUUGGCUCAUAGGCAGGCCUGCUCUUUGGCCAUGGCAACAAGCAACUUGACAGAAGUUUGAUUUCUUUCCAAAAUCCCUCUUUGCUGCAAUGAAAUAUUGCUGUUUUCUUAUUUUUCAACCUCUGUUCUACGGAAACAAGACCUACACGAGCGCAUUGUCUAUCAGCCUUUCUAAUUCGUGUCAGUUCCAGCACCUUUUGAGAAGCCAUUAACCACUGUGGCUGUGUGAGCAUGUAGUGAACUUGCUGGUAAGCUCUGUUCCCAUUGAAACCGGGGCAAAGUAGAAUUGCAGAAGAAUACAGAACAGAAAGCCACAGGAAACCAAACUUCAUUAGGUUAUUGACCAACUGGAGGGUCUGCUUUUUUUUACUUUUCUUUUGUGUGUGAGGAUGGUAGAAUUAAGAAGGAAGAGAAUUUGUUUUCCCAUCUGUUUCCUCUAGCUCCAAAUUUCUCUCUUUGUUUCUAGUCAGAAAAUACCAAAUUCAUUAAAAUAACUCUGUGUAUGUGGGACUGAAUUUCUGAACUGUGUGACUUGGUACAUGUUGCCCAAUUGUCUUUUCUAUUAGUUAUGAAACCAAACACACCAAAAAACAACAGCAAACAAAAAAGAAAAACACACACACAAAAAAAACCUGAAACCCCCCAAAGUUCCAAACCAAUCAUCAUAAUGCUCAAGGUAAAAGAUAACUGACAGGUAGCAUAGAUAACAGGCAGUAUUGUGACCGUUCUUGGAGAUGAGAACUUUCUACUUCAUCUUGAUAUUACAGAUUGUAACAUGAAGAAGUAUGAUUAAUCAAAUUGGAAAAACUUUCAAAAGUUGCACAGGAUGAAAGGAAGCAGCAGCUUGAUUUCUAUUCUAAAAUACAUCCAUUAUAUUUCCAUGCUCUGUUUAGCUGUUGACUUUCAGGCUUUAGAUAAAACCUGCAGUUUUACCUAACAGUUUUACCCAGCAGCUGAUUGUUAAGUGGCAGAGAUCGAACAUAUAGUUCCCAUUGCUUGCAGAAGCCAGUAGGAUUGGUAAAUGACACGUUUUGCUGCACCAAUUCAACGUUUGUAUGUAAAAAAUAAUGUCACCUGCACUGGCACUACGUUACUGGAAGUGCUAAGGCAGGAGGGGAUCAACGACUGAGUUGGUUUGUGCAAGUAUGAAUUUAAAUCACCUUGUGUGUCAGGUUGGUUAACACGUCGUGUUUUCUGGCUGAUAUAUUCCAAGCCUUACACUUCAAACAUUGUAUUUAUCAACCCUUUAUUAAAUAUACAAAACAAGACCGCUCUCGCCAAAGUCUGUCACAACCCAUUUUGUUGUCGCUGUGCAUUUUGGUAUAUGUGGAGGAAUGAGAGCCCAAGCCGCAAAGUCAGCUUGUUUUAGCCUCAAUGGCUUUUUAAAAACCCUGCAGCUUAAAAUAAUACAUUAUUAAGGCAUUCAGACUUGUCAAAAUUAAUAAUUAAUAUCCCAUUUAUGUUCCCCACGCAUACACAGAGUCUUUCAUUCAGUUCAGUUGCUGCACCAAGGCAGUGCUAUCUGUACUGCAGCCAAGUGGCUGCACAUUGCAGCCUUUUCACAUGGCAGAAGUGCAUCUGGGAGCUUGGGUUGUCAGCUCAGGGCUUCUGUCUUCUGAAUCCAUAAUGCACAGAUGUGUUUCCUUACAGAAGGUUAUAUAACAUCAGUCUUCAGCUGCUGCUUUGUAAGUUAUCUCAGUUUGUAUGUGAUCCGAUAGCCUAAUAUUAAUAUUAUUAAUGACAGUUUUAAGAGUUUUAUAAACAGUGUUUGAUCCUGGGGGAACUUGCUUCUUGUGAUAAGGGGGUCAUUUAACAGGUGGUUAUGGAUGUUAUUCAGACUUAUUGUAAGACUAUAGGACUAUUCUAAUAACAUACUUACGAAGCAUCACAUUGUGUCUUCUGUUAGAAGACCACAGAGACCACGUCUUGCAGAACUAUUUCAGUUUCUGAAGUCAGUGCUCAGUGUGUACAGAGCCCAGAAAUUGCACUGGGAAUGACAGAAACCUCAGCAAGAAUAAGGUAAACAGUUCAGACUAAGGAUUGCCAAAGACAGCAGAAGAAUGGGCCUGGGCUCUGCGUCUGAGUUACCAUGUAGGCAGCACUUAAAAACCAACCAACCAACAAAAUCCACCAAAAAAAACAGCAAGAAAUAAAACCCAAACAAACAAACAAACAAAAACCUGUACAAAAUCCCAACCAAUCAACUGGAAAACCCUCAAAAAUAAUAAUAAUAAUAAAAGAGGAGUUAAGUUUUUGUAUCAGCAUAGUAAUUCACGCAGAACGGGUAGGAUUAACAGUUGAUGGGAUAUUCUCAAUACCUUUAUUUUUAUUUUCAAGAUUAUGCAUUCCUAAUUUAUCCACCAUUUAAAACUGUAGAUGCAUUUGAGUAGUUUUCAAAUAAAUAGAACCUAUUAUUUGGCUUUUUGCAAUGUUCUUCUCCCUUGAGAUGCCAUGAACAUUUCCAUGUGUUUGACUUUUUUUGGGGUUUGUUUUUCCUGGGAGUUAAAAUAUAUAUACAUAUAUAUGGGGAACAAUGCAAAGAG